UAUUGUAAGGGUCUUUUUCAUGACAUGACAGAUGCAUACUAGGCCAGGGAUUUGUGCUCAAGAUGAAAUUGUUAAGAUGGGGAUGGCAAAAGCACUUACAUGAAAAUACCACAUGGUGAGUUAUCAGUUUUUUAAUCUGAAAAACACCUGGAGCAGAGGGUAUUUUUCAGUAGCCUGCACCUAGUUUCCUAUAUCAAAUAUUUUCAGUAAAAUUACAAAGCUGUAAUAAUGUGCUUUUUAAAUCUGCAGAUAAUCUGAAGCAGUAAGAAACUGUGUAAAGUGAGAGAGGUUUAAGACUGAAAAUGGUGUUGGCAAAAUUGGAAAAAGGAUAUGCAGGUGAAUGGAUGAUACUCAACAGUAAACACAAGACAGAUUAUUCAAACAAGAAUGUUCAAUUGCACAAUCGUGUGAUGAGCAUCAGCUGCCUCACAACAAGCCUCCAUGGGUGAGACAUGUGACUUGGCUUGCCAGUUGAUCAUGAGUUAACAAGGUCAUGAUGUUGGAAGAAAAGCAUAUUGGGACAUAUGAACAGAGGAACAGUUUAAAAGAUGUAGAUGAAACUUCUUCAUUAUGAUGGCUUUGGGGGUUUUUUUGGACAGUACUUUCAAGAAGAAAACAAAGCAAAAUCCAAACAAUAGCAGAGAACCCAGAGCAGGACCAUGAAAAGCUCACCAAAUGCAGGACCUACAUAAGAAACUGGCAAAAUUAAGAUAUUGAAUCACAGACACCAGAGUUGGAAGAAUACAAUCCUUCAAGAUGGAAAUAUUGCAACUUAGCCUGUUUGCAUGACUUUUGACAGAAGGAUGAAAACUCAGCAAAAGGCACAUCCUUGGCACUCCAGUGAGGUCACUGACUAAGUGUAGUACUCUUCAACAAGAGAUGGAGAUGAUAAAAGCUGGCAUAUCUUUCAAGACAAUUAAUUUCCUCCAAAAAUCUUAGAAAUGCCUGGGCCAUUUGGUUUAAACUUAGACAAAGCCUGAGGCAGUUAUUCACCAGGCCAAACCUUAGGCUGAAUGGCUACAUUUAUUACAAGUGUAAACUGUUUUAAAGUGUGGACAGGGGGACAAAUGUAGGCAGCAUUGGUGUAUAGCAUGAAAUAGUUUUCUGCUUUUGCUCUUCAAAUACAGAAAAGAAACAGUGUGUCUGGAUGAAUAGCUCUGUGCCAGUCAGCCUCCAAAUAGUCAAAUGUCUCUCAUCUACUCAACAUCCCACACACAAAUGUGUGUGGGAAUGCUUGUAAAUUUAAUGAAGUGCUGACUGAAAGAAGUUUAUGCCUGGCUUCCAAUUAAAUACUAGUAAGAUAAGCUUAGGCAGCAUAAAAUCCUUGUUAUUAUGAAGAUGGAUUAUAUUAGCUAUCAGCAACCUCUGACCGCCCAACUUUAAAACAUUGCCAAUAUUUUUUUUCAGUGGGACCCUCUCUUGAUUCCAGUGAGGUUUGGAUUGGUGUCUUAGAUGUGCAGGUGUUGCUAAUACAGGCUUUCACUGACCCAUCCUGUCCUAGUGUGAAUUUAUGAUGCUUGUAUCUGCAGUUGUCUGUUCUGUUUGUGACGGAUGUUAAGUUCUGCACCUUUAAGACUGGUUCUGAGACCAAAAGUGGGAAGAGAAGCACACAGUUUGUUUUCAGAAACUGCACUUUCUCCACUGCAUUCUGCUCCUGUCCUGGACUGUGGUGUCUGCAGCACAGACAUGCAGGAGAGAGCUCU